CAGUAGCCACGGUAAUACAGAGGGUGCAAGCGUUAAUCGGAAUUACUGGGCGUAAAGCGCGCGUAGGUGGUUUGUUAAGUUGGAUGUGAAAGCCCCGGGCUCAACCUGGGAACUGCAUCCAAAACUGGCAAGCUAGAGUACGGUAGAGGGUGGUGGAAUUUCCUGUGUAGCGGUGAAAUGCGUAGAUAUAGGAAGGAACACCAGUGGCGAAGGCGACCACCUGGACUGAUACUGACACUGAGGUGCGAAAGCGUGGGGAGCAAACAGGAUUAGAGACCCCUGUAGUCCCUGUCUCUUAUAC
rnacentral:rRNA from 1 species